AGUGAACGCUGGCGGUAGGCCUAACACAUGCAAGUCGAACGGCAGCACAGUAAGAGCUUGCUCUUACGGGUGGCGAGUGGCGGACGGGUGAGGAAUACAUCGGAAUCUACUUUUUCGUGGGCGAUAACGUAGGGAAACUUACGCUAAUACCGCAUACGACCUACGGGUGAAAGCAGGGGAUCUUCGGACCUUGCGCGAUUGAAUGAGCCGAUGUCGGAUUAGCUAGUUGGCGGGGUAAAGGCCCACCAAGGCGACGAUCCGUAGCUGGCCUGAGAGGAUGAUCAGCCACACUGGAACUGAGACACGGUCCAGACUCCUACGGGAGGCAGCAGUGGGGAAUAUUGGACAAUGGGCGCAAGCCUGAUCCAGCCAUACCGCGUGGGUGAAGAAGGCCUUCGGGUUGUAAAGCCCUUUUGUUGGGAAAGAAAAGCAGCAGGUUAAUACCCCGCUGUUCUGACGGUACCCAAAGAAUAAGCACCGGCUAACUUCGUG
rnacentral:rRNA from 1 species